GAGGGUAUAGCUCAAGUGGUAGAGCACAUGCUUAGCACGCAUGAGGUCCUGGGCUCCAUCCCCACUACCUCCA
rfam:Camelus ferus unplaced genomic scaffold scaffold978, whole genome shotgun sequence.